rnacentral:tRNA from 3 species
GCCCGGAUGGUGGAAUUGGUAGACACGCUAGUUUCAGGUACUAGAGCUCGAAAGGGUGUGCAAGUUCAAGUCUUGUUCCGGGCA